rfam:Triticum aestivum genome assembly, contig: Triticum_aestivum_CS42_TGACv1_scaffold_578635_7BL
CAAAUACUCCCUCCGUCCGAAAUUACUUGUCAUCAAAAUGGAUGAAAAUGGAUGUAUCUAGAACUAAAAUACAUCUAGACACAUCCAUUUCAAUGACAAGUAUUUCCGGACGGAGGGAGUAGGAA